GCCCCAAGGGUCCUCUGGCGUCUGUGACGGCGCGGGUCUCGGCCUCUUCAGUCGGCUCAGGCCAGCGCUUCAGGGGUCCCUCCAGUCCCCUCCCCCGUUCCCUCCGCCCUCCGGCACUUUCUCUAACCGAGGAAGGAGCGGAGAGGAACCUGGCUGAAUCAAGGGACUUGCGAGCCUAUGGAUGAGUUUUAAACCCGAGAGCCAAUUAAAUAUUAUUGGAACCUACUGUAAGGGCGGGGAAGGGGAGGUUAGGAGGCGGAGAGGCUGAGUCCCACGGCGGCGGGUCCAGGCCCGGAACCCAGCACAGCCCUCCCUCGGCCCUUCCCUGCCGUCAGGACGAGGGGCGCUGCCACCCCAGCCAGGACUCUGCGCCUCCCCGCCCCCGAUUCCCCUCAGUACGCGCAAGUCGGCCCCUCCCCACUCACGCCGGGCCGAGCAAGCCGAGCGGAGGGCAGGGGCGAGACGAAGGACCAAAGUUCCCCGGCCUAAGACGCCGCGCGCAGCUCUUCCUACACAGCAGCUGCGGCUCCAGGCGAACGCCUGCGCCUCAAAGGAAACGUCUUGGAUGGAUGCCCAACUGCCACCAAAACCGGUGAGGGUAUCGCUCACCUCUGCAUCCUCGGUGUCUACAAGAGCGCCUGGCAUAUGAGCACAGGCUCCGGACGCGCAGGCUCAGCGGCCAUGGCUCACGGGCCCAGCCACUCCGCGGCAUAUGGGAUCCUCCCGGACCGGGGCACGAACCCGUGUCCCCUGCAUCGGCAGGUGGACUCUCAACCACUGCGCCACCAGGGAAGCCCCCCUUCCUCUAUUUUUAUUAGCCACAUUGAAAGGAAAAUGAUCAGAUGAUUGUAUAGAAUUUUAAAGCGAACAAUGUGCCUUUAAAAUUGCUUAAUAAACAGGUGGUUAAAAUAUCAUCAGAGAUGUUAUCGGAAUUCAGUUAGGAUGGUAUGUGUCACAUCUGAUGGACAAUGGAAUGGUAAAUAACAAAUCAAAUAAGUAAAUGCUCACAUAGAAAAAUACAACAUAACUUUUUAUGAAUAAGAGCUUAUUGCCAUAAUAAGAUAUAUAAAAUUGACUUCAUGGAUAUAAAUAGCAAAAGAAAAACCCCAAAGCAAAACUCUUUUUUAAUCAAUUUUCUCUCCAGACCAAAAAAAAACCAGCCUAAGAAGUAAAAUAAAAUUAGGAAUUUACCUACUGGUCUGUGUCCUUUCAAUGGACACAAAAAUUUUAACAUGCAUUUGGUUGUAGCAGGCUCUUGACCUGUUGAACUAAGGGGAGGUGUUUGAUUUUGUUCAUGUAACCUGAUGUGAAUACAGAAGGGCUAGAGCUCGUGAACCUGAAGAUAUUUCAAACUAAGAAGUAGCAACAAAUCUUCAGGUUACUCGUGCUUGUUAGAUUGAAUUGCUGUGGUACAUGAAGCUCAUUAGAAGAGCAGUUGGCUAGUUGUCCCCUUCGGACAGUUUGUACCAAGUGGGUGGACAUCCUGGAAAUAUUCAAAAGUAUCCUAGAAUCUCAGGGUGGCAGAGUACCUUCCAUACCAAUGAGUAGCCCACAUGUACUUACAAGUGGGCUGUUCAGUGACCAAAUUGUUUGUUUAAUUAUUGUA